rnacentral:rRNA from 1 species
ACAGCAGCAGCCACGGUAACACGGAGGGAGCUAGCGUUGUUCGGAAUUACUGGGCGUAAAGCGCGCGUAGGCGGUUACUCAAGUCAGAGGUGAAAGCCCGGGGCUCAACCCCGGAACUGCCUUUGAAACUAGGUGACUAGAAUCUUGGAGAGGUCAGUGGAAUUCCGAGUGUAGAGGUGAAAUUCGUAGAUAUUCGGAAGAACACCAGUGGCGAAGGCGACUGACUGGACAAGUAUUGACGCUGAGGUGCGAAAGCGUGGGGAGCAAACAGGAUUAGAUACCCGAGUAGUCCCUGUCUCUUAUAC